rnacentral:rRNA from 1 species
GAUGAACGCUAGCGGCAGGCUUAAUACAUGCAAGUCGAGGGGCAGCACAGGUAGCAAUACUGGGUGGCGACCGGCAAACGGGUGCGGAACACGUAUACAACUUACCUUAGAGUGGGGGAUAGCCCAGGGAAACUUGGAUUAAUACCCCAUAAAACAGGGGGCCCGCAUGGGCAUAUUGUUAAAGAUUUAUCGCUUUAAGAUGGGUGUGCGUAUGAUUAGGUAGUUGGUAGGGUAAAGGCCUACCAAGCCGACGAUCAUUAACUGGUGUGAGAGCACGACCAGUCACACGGGCACUGAGACACGGGCCCGACUCCUACGGGAGGCAGCAGUAAGGAAUAUUUGUCAAUGGACGGAAGUCUGAACCAGCCAUGCCGCGUGAAGGAUGAAGGUCCUCUGGAUUGUAAACUUCUUUUAUAGGGGGCGAAAAAGGGCCAUUCUUGGUCAACUGACGGUACCCUAUGAAUAAGCACCGGCUAACUCCGUGCCAGCAGCCGCCGUAAGAC